rnacentral:rRNA from 1 species
AACGGAUAAAAGGUACUCCGGGGAUAACAGGCUGAUACCGCCCAAGAGUUCAUAUCGACGGCGGUGUUUGGCACCUCGAUGUCGGCUCAUCACAUCCUGGGGCUGAAGUAGGUCCCAAGGGUAUGGCUGUUCGCCAUUUAAAGUGGUACGCGAGCUGGGUUUAGAACGUCGUGAGACAGUUCGGUCCCUAUCUGCCGUGGGCGCUGGAGAACUGAGGGGGACUGCUCCUAGUACGAGAGGACCGGAGUGGACGCAUCACUGGUGUUCGGGUUGUCAUGCCAAUGGCACUGCCCGGUAGCUAAAUGCGGAAGAGAUAAGUGCUGAAAGCAUCUAAGCACGAAACUUGCCCCGAGAUGAGUUCUCCCUGACCCUUUAAGGGUCCUGAAGGAACGUUGAAGACGACGACGUUGAUAGGCCGGGUGUGUAAGCGCAGCGAUGCGUUGAGCUAACCGGUACUAAUGAACCGUGAGGCUUAACCUUACAACGCCGAAG